rnacentral:misc_RNA from 1 species
GUGGGCUGUAACUCUUGA